GAGAGAAAGAGGAAAUUAAUUUUGAGGGUUGCUGAAUGUAGUGGGAGCUGCUUCUGUGCUUGGGUGGGAGUUGCACCCAUUGAAUUUAAGAAGACAGAUAAGAACCACUUGGCUGGCAGCGGGCACGAGGCUGGGAGAGAUGGGGAUCCAGCUGGACGCAGCUGGUGCUCAAUCCCUGCCGCUUCCUGCCACCUAGUGGUUAGUCUUCUGCCAGUCUUCUGCCCAGCAGUUUGUGGCAUUAGAAAAGAUGGUCAGAAGAGAGGCAGGAUGCUGUGUGCUCUGGGGGGAAAAUGGGCGAAGCAAGCACUCUGCCCUCUCCUAGCCAAGCGACCCAGCGCUCCUGCCAUUUUUAGUGAGACUUUACCCUCGUGUAACUAUCCGGGGAUAACUAUUAGUCUAGGAUGGUGAACUUGGGUGUUGUUCCAUAUUAUGGGAGAAAAUCUGGCUCACAAAUGCAGGUGAGUAGGUUGGCCUAACACUUCAGUCUCCUGUUUACCCAUUCACUGGAGCUGAAUAAGUUGUUCUUUGUCUACACUUGCGGUACGCUGAAUGGGUUUCAAGUAUUAUUUUUUUGUUUUUCUGGGAAGACUUUCAUCUGCAUUCAGCCACUGACACUCAGUGCUGCCUAUUCACUAUAUACAGAAAGCAAUCCAGCCCAGUUUCAGUCUCCAGGGUGUUGCUUUUGCAAGCCAUUUCAGAUUAUCAGGAUUUUUAAUGCUGUAAGAAGGGUUCCCAGAGGAAAUAAAGUGCUUAGACACACUCAUCCAAAAUUUCCACCCAUGCAGAAAAUGAAAGACAAUAGUGUUUUUUACAAGCCAGGUACUUUCCACCUUGCCCUUUAUGGUAAUGAAAUAAAGCAAAAACAGGAGGUUGAUGUGUCUUGUUAAUUUGUAUUGUCUUCUGCUCCCCCUGCCAUCCACUCCCAGCAAAAUCAGCACAUCUAGCAGCAGAGGUGUGGAAAGGCAGGUGGUUUCCCCUGCUCACUUCAAGGCAGCAUCUGGCACCUCCCUGGGGACAGGACAUCUGUCUGUGAAGAGUCAGCAUGCAGGUGUUCAAGGCACAGGUGUUUACUACACCUGCCAGGAAGUGGAGAGGACGUGGCCUGUUAUGGCCAGAACAAAGACCUCUUGCCCAUAGCAGCUCAGGGCUGUCACAACUCCUGCCAAAAUAAAUGAAUAUUCUUUGAAAAUUGGUUUUUCUCUGCGUAAAGGAUUUUCACAACCCAUAUCUCCACUGAUGUUAUGGCUUUAAAAUUGAUCUUAUAUACUAUAGUCAAAGCUUGCUAGCAUAAUACCUGUUUUCUGGAGCAAGCAUGCUGUUUCCAAAUCUUUGAAUUCAGUCUUUUAUCUAGCGUGGAUAAAAUAAAUAAGGAAUUAUUUGAGAGACGUUUGCAGAUCCAAAGAAAUAGGAUCUUACAAGAUAGCAGCUUUGGGUUUUCAGGUACUGUGCCUGAAGAACAUAGUCAAACAAUCUGAGAGCGCAGAGAACAGGAUCAAGAUUGUUGGUGGGGCUGAAUGGGAUGAAAGAUACGGAGUCAUUUAGUCCAGAGUGAGAUGUAAUAUCUUCAAAUGCGCAUCUGUAGAGAGGAUAGCAGUAAAUAUUCUCUACACCAGCUUGAAACACAGUAAGAAGUAAUGGCUUUAAGUUAUUUGCUAAAUGAUAGGAAAAAUCUCUAUUUGUUGACAUAAUAAGAUGCUGAGUACAUGAGCUUGAGUGACAAAGGAAUGUCCAUCACCAAAGGUCUUGAAAAGUAAAUUAGAGAAAGCAUUGCUUGCAGUGUCUUUAGUAUUGGGUCAUGUCUUCUUUCCUACACUUUUUUCUCUUUUCUUUUACUCUAUAAAAUAAGUGAUUUCCUUAAUUUUACAGAUGGAGUUGUAAAGAUGGAGUGUUAAAAAGCAGCCAGCCCUGAGGAUCCUCAUGUGCUUCUGAAGUUGACUCCAGCUGAAGUGCUGACCGGAGGGCCCCUUGCCACUGAGAUGCUUACAGCUCUGAAGUCUUUUCAAGAGAGAAGAGAAACCAAACUGGAAGAUGAGAGCAUUGCCCAGGCACCGAAUGCUGUUUCUGUUCAACCUUUGUUUCAUCAAGAAAAGUGGGUGUCUAAAAUCAAAGCACACUUUACUUCCCGUCACAUACUUACAGUGUGAGACCGGUGUUUUAGUAGAGUCUGCUGCCAGACUACAGAGAAAAGGAAGCUUGGUGGAUCAUUGGGUUUUUCAGCCUCUGAGCAUGAUAACCAACCAUUUUAGGCAACUGUGAUGUCGCCAGCUGGGGUGCUGAUAGUGCUACUGUAACCACACUCUUCAUUAGCUGAGUGUUCCUCUUGCUCUCCUACUAUGACAGAGGCUUCAUGAAUUUCUUGAGAAAAUAGAGGAUCUACUGAAGUUACCAUUUCUUCCAGAAAACCACAGCUGUCGAUGACUAAGGCAUGAACAAAGAAAGCUAAAAGCUAUUUUUUUUUUUAAUCUCAUGUUAUUAAGUGUAAAUGAAAUGAUAUUUCCAUAAGGUUUUAGGCUUUCUGCAGAAUUUGUGAAAAUGCGGAAAAAUGGUGUUAAGAUCCGCAAUAUGAACUUUAGGUGGGAGAUUUGUUGUUAAUAAACAGCUUUAAAAAGGAAAA